rnacentral:rRNA from 1 species
GACAGCCAGGAGGUUGGCUUAGAAGCAGCCACCCUUUAAAGAAAGCGUAAUAGCUCACUGGUCGAGUCGUCCUGCGCGGAAAAUGUAACGGGGCUCAAACUGUGCACCGAAAUCGCGGAUCAGCAUGCUCCUUUUA